GUGAGCAUAACAUCUGUGACUGGGAAAAUAUUUGAAGGGUUAUUAAGGGAUAAUAUUCAGGAAUUCAUUGGGAAGAACUUUGUUAUUAGCAAUAAUCAGCAUGGUUUUAUGAAACAUAGGUCAUGUCAAACUAACCUAAUUGCAUUCUAUGAACAAGUAAGUAGAAGUAUAGAUCAGGGUGUUGCAGUGGAUGUGAUCUACUUGAAUUUUGCCAAGGCAUUUGAU